rnacentral:rRNA from 1 species
UACGUAGGUGGCAAGCGUUGUCCGGAUUUACUGGGCGUAAAGAGCGCGCAGGCGGUCGUUCAAGUCGCGUGUGAAAGCCCCCGGCUCAACUGGGGAGGGUCACGCGAUACUGAUCGACUCGAAGGCAGGAGAGGGUAGUGGAAUUCCCGGUGUAGUGGUGAAAUGCGUAGAUAUCAGGAGGAACACCUGUGGUGUAGACAGCUUACUGGACCACUUCUGACGCUGAGACACGAAAGCGUGGGUAGCAAACAGG